rnacentral:rRNA from 1 species
GGCAGCAGUGGGGAAUAUUGCACAAUGGGCGAAAGCCUGAUGCAGCAACGCCGCGUGUGCGAAGAAGGUCUUCGGAUCGUAAAGCACUUUUCUGGGAGAUGAGAAAGGACAGUAUCCCAGGAAUAAGUCUCGGCUAACUACGUGCCAGCAGCCGCGGUAACACGUAGGAGGCAAGCGUUAUUCGGAUUUACUGGGCGUAAAGCGCGUGCAGGCGGUUCGGUAAGUUAGGCGUGAAAGCUCCCGGCUCAACUGGGAGAGGUCGUCUAAAACUGCCAGACUAGAGGACAGUAGAGGAAGGUGGAAUUCCCGGUGUAGUGGUGAAAUGCGUAAAUAUCGGGAGGAACACCAGUGGCGAAAGCGGCCUUCUGGACUGUUUCUGACGCUCAGACGCGAAAGCUAGGGUAGCAAACGGGAUUAGAGACCCCGGUAGUCCUAGCCGUAAACGAUGUGAACUUGGCGUUGGUGGGUUAAUAUCCAUCAGUGCCGUAGCUAACGCGAUAAGUUCACCGCCUGGGGACUACGGUCGCAAGAUUAAAACUCAAAUGAAUUGACGG